GACGAACGCUGGCGGCGUGCUUAACACAUGCAAGUCGAGCGGUAAGGCCCUUUCGGGGGUACACGAGCGGCGAACGGGUGAGUAACACGUGGGUGACCUGCCCUCAGCUCUGGGAUAAGCCUGGGAAACCGGGUCUAAUACUGGAUAUGACUCCAUGACGCAUGUUGUGGGGUGGAAAGCCUUGUGCGGCUGAGGAUGGGCCCGCGGCCUAUCAGCUUGUUGGUGGGGUGANGGCCUACCAAGGCGACGACGGGUAGCCGGCCUGAGAGGGCGACCGGCCACACUGGGACUGAGACACGGCCCAGACUCCUACGGGAGGCAGCAGUGGGGAAUAUUGGACAAUGGGCGCAAGCCUGAUCCAGCGAUGCCGCGUGUGUGAAGAAGGCC
rnacentral:rRNA from 1 species